rnacentral:ncRNA from 1 species
UGUCUCCUCCAAUUUUCCUCCUUAAAGAAAUUGGAUUCAGCCCGCAACCUCCGGUUCGCGGGCUUUUUUUU